AUCUUUACACUAUGAUUUGAUAAGCUCUUCAAUUUAGUAUAAAAGACUAGAGCUCGUACGACUUGCAAAAUAAAAAAAAAUGAAGUUCCUUCUUUAUGUUCAAGUCAUAUUAUUGCUGGCGUUUCAAGUAGCGUUCUCCCAUUCUGAAUGCCUAUGCGUCGUUCCACAAUUCUGCAACGAAGGUCCUGGCGUUUAUGUAACGGGUCCAUGUUCCUUUCUUGGAAUUCAGGGAAUGGUAAUAUGCUGUCGAGAUUCCUAACGGGACAAUAUCAAAAUAGUUAUGUUCAUAAAUAAUACAUAUUGUAAUCCAAUUGAAUAAAGAGUACACCAUCUAGCCUUA